rnacentral:rRNA from 1 species
UACGUAGGGGGCAAGCGUUGUCCGGAUUUAUUGGGCGUAAAGAGCGUGUAGGCGGCUUUGCAAGUCCGUUGUGAAAACUCGAGGCUCAACCUCGAGACGCCGGUGGAAACUGCAAAGCUAGAGUCCGGAAGAGGAGAGUGGAAUUCCUGGUGUAGCGGUGAAAUGCGCAGAUAUCAGGAAGAACACCUAUGGCGAAGGCAGCUCUCUGGGACGGUACUGACGCUGAGACGCGAAAGCGUGGGGAGCGAACAGG